AGAUUGAACGCUAGCGGGAUGCUUUACACAUGCAAGUCGAACGGCAGCGCGGACUUCGGUCUGGCGGCGAGUGGCGAACGGGUGAGUAAUAUAUCGGAACGUGCCCAGUAGCGGGGGAUAACUACGCGAAAGCGUGGCUAAUACCGCAUACGCCCUACGGGGGAAAGGGGGGAUUCUUCGGAACCUCUCACUAUUGGAGCGGCCGAUAUCAGAUUAGCUAGUUGGUGAGGUAAAGGCUCACCAAGGCGACGAUCUGUAGCUGGUUUGAGAGGACGACCAGCCACACUGGGACUGAGACACGGCCCAGACUCCGUACGGGAGCAGCAGGUGGGGUAAUUUGGACAAGUCGGGGGAAACCCUGAUCCAGCCAUCCCGCGUGUGCGAUGAACGGUCCGUUCGGGUUAGUAAAGACUACGUUUUUGGACGAGGGAAGAAACGAGCGCCGCCGUA
rnacentral:rRNA from 1 species